CAGUCGCCGCGGUAAUACGUAGGGCGCAAGCGUUAUCCGGAAUUAUUGGGCGUAAAGGGCUCGCAGGCGGUUUCUUAAGUCUGAUGUGAAAGCCCCCGGCUCAACCGGGGAGGGUCAUUGGAAACUAGGAAACUUGAGUGCAGAAGAGGAGAGUGGAAUUCCACGUGUAGCGGUGAAAUGCGUAGAGAUGUGGAGGAACACCAGUGGCGAAGGCGACUCUCUGGUCUGUAACUGACGCUGAGGAGCGAAAGCGUGGGGAGCGAACAGGAUUAGAUACCCCUGUAGUCCCUGUCUCUUAUAU
rnacentral:rRNA from 1 species